AGAAAAAAAUUUAAAAAAAUAAAAGUUGUUAUUUGGGCAAUAACUAUCUACAGCAGGAAAUAUGAAAUGAGGAUUAUACAGAGCUAUAACGUAAGCCAGUGAAAAGUGUCAUCAGAAUUAAUGACUUAACUGGGAAGAAUUGCCAAAUUAGCAUUACAAUAAGCUCAACAAUAACAACCAAGCCUUCAUCCCAACUAAUUUGGGAUUAGUUAUAUGGAUCAUUUUUCACCAUCUAGUUAGAUACAUAUAAUCUGAUGAUUAACAUAUUUGUUUAGCUUCACUUUAUAAGAUUCUUAAAUCCCCCGAGGCUAUAACAGUCCACAACAGAAAAUAUGAGCAACUCUCAUGCAGCAAUAAGGUAAAGCCAGUCAAAAUCUCACCAGCAGCAAACAAUGACUUUACCAACAAGGUGCAUGAAACAUUUUUUUUUU
rnacentral:misc_RNA from 1 species